rnacentral:rRNA from 1 species
AGAUUAAACUGAAGAGUUUGAUCCUGGCUCAGAUUGAACGCUAGCGGCAUGCCUUACACAUGCAAGUCGAACGGCAGCGGACUCUUCGGAGUG